GGUGCUGCAGUCUUCUUCGCAAGUGCGCUGCCGACCGUCCUUCACAAGAGAGGGUUGCACCAUUGCUUGUUUGCCUUCAUGACCUCCACUAGGAUCAUUCUAAGAAUCUUUUUUCAAAGUAUCAAACCACACUCUAAUCAGAUUUUAUGUUCAACACAUGAACAAUCUGAUUUUUGGACAAGCAUCUCAUACUUUCUAUUUCUCUUCCUCUCUUCUUUUCUAUUUUUUCUUCCCUUAUCCUUGUCUUUAUCCAGACACUUUUCUCUCAAUUUUCUCUCAUCCUCAUGCCAAUUCCCAG
rnacentral:lncRNA from 1 species